rnacentral:rRNA from 1 species
ACAAUGAAGAGUUUGAUCCUGGCUCAGGAUGAACGCUAGCUACAGGCUUAACACAUGCAAGUCGAGGGGCAUCAUGCUUAUAGCAAUAUAAGUGAUGGCGACCGGCGCACGGGUGAGUAACACGUAUCCAACCUGCCGAUAACUCGGGGAUAGCCUUUCGAAAGAAAGAUUAAUACCCGAUGGUAUAAUAAAACCGCAUGGUUUAAUUAUUAAAGAAUUUCGGUUAUCGAUGGGGAUGCGUUCCAUUAGGCAGUUGGUGAGGUAACGGCUCACCAAACCUUCGAUGGAUAGGGGUUCUGAGAGGAAGGUCCCCCACAUUGGAACUGAGACACGGUCCAAACUCCUA